rnacentral:lncRNA from 13 species
AGAGGGGGAGAGACAGAGGGAGAGAGAAGAGACCUACAGUAGAGUAGAGGGGGAGAGACAGAGGGAGAGAGAAGAGACCUACAGUAGAGUAGAGGGGGAGAGACAGAGGGAGAGAGAAGAGACCUACAGUAGAGUAAAGGGGGAGAGCCAGAGGGAGAGAGAAGAGACCUACAGUAGAGUAGAGGGGGAGAGAGAAGAGACCUACAGUAGAGUAGAGGGGGAGAAGGAAUGAGGAAGGCAGGGCUGAACAUAGGCUUAAAUCCUCCACUCCUCUCUGACAACUGUUUUCCCCCUCUUUCAUUAUCUCGAUCCUCACUCUCUCUUGCUCUGUCUCUCCCCCUCUCGCUUUCUCUCACUCUAGGUUUGUGGAUGGUAUUGAGACAGAGAGAAAUGUGAACUCAACCCAAAAGUUUGAGUUUAGCUCCAGUCUUCUACACAGUGGUCCACCAUCCCCAGGACUAGGUAAUACAAUCUCCUCUCCAUCAGUCUGUUGCUGCUCUCUCUCCAACAUGUACUUACCUCUCCGUCUGUGUGCGUGUGUGUGUGCUCGUGUAGGGAUCCAGGAGCAGUCAGAAAUCAAACAGAGUGUCUCUAAGCUGAGUGACGAGAUGAGCAGUCUCUCCCAGCAAGUCUCUCAGCUCAGCCAGGAACUGCAGGAAAUGACCCGCCUGCUCCGGCCCCUCCUCCUCGUGGCGCCUCAGCCAAUCCUGACAGCCAUGACGCCCAUCCUGACUCCACCGCUCAGCAGUGCCAGCCAACCGUCCUCCAGGACACCUCUGGUGGUCCCACCUCCAGCCCCGCCCUGCUCCCCACAACCCCACCCCCGGCGAACGCAGUCCUGCUCACUAUUGGACGUGGACAGUGCUGACACAGGGAGGGUGGACCUGCCAGGUUGCCUCCUCCCCACCCCCCCUCCACAGAGGCCUCCAGCCCAGGCCCAUUCUCCAAUCUCCCCAGGGAGAUGCUCCAAGGACUUACUCCGCUCCAACCCCCCUUCCCCUGGGACAGGAGACACAGAGGGGUCCACCCACCUCUCCAACGGUUCUAACCACUCCAACCUCCCGGUCUCUAGCAACGGGUUCUUCCCUGUCCAGGACCGUCCUCCCCUUGCCUCCCGCACCCCGUCCCCCUCCCUUUCCUUCUCACUGUCUCUCUCCUCCUCGCCCUCCUGCUCUCCCUGCCAGGGACCCCACCAUUCUCGACCAGGCAGUCACAGUAGCCACAGCAGGGGCCUGUUCCCCCCAACUCCCUCACAGGAGACCCCACCCCCACCUUCCUCCCAUUGCUCUGCUCCCCCGUCACUCAUCUCCUCGCCUGGAGACCAUAGGCUGAGGGUGGUCAGCCCCACCUUUUCCUCCUCAACUAACCUCAUCCCUCCCACGUCCUGUCUUAACCCCUCGCCCUUCUUCCCGGGGCCGUUCUCCCUGGACUCUCUGAGGGGGGAGACACAGGGGGGCCCCAGGCUGGAGGCAGGACACCUGGAGCUUGAGAUGCAGGAGUGGGGAGGGGAGAGGGGGGAGGGAUGCUCCCAAAUGAUGGAACACAUCAGCUACAUCGACGAGGAAGGGCCAGCUCUGUGA